rnacentral:snoRNA from 1 species
UUGCUGUGAUGAACAUUACUCUGUGUACCAGAGGAAGUCUCCUGUGACGGUAACACAAACCCUCUAAGAAGUUCUGAGCUU